AAAACAGCGAUUAUAAAAGCUACGAUUUUUAAAUUUCUUCAGAGAGCCGAUGGGUGGUGUGAAUCGGUGAAAGGUAAAAUCUUUCCACUUUUGGAGCUGUCGAUGAUGAAUCGAAAGGUUAGUAUCCUUUAUCAUACUAUUCGAGUGGUUGGUUAUAAUUAUAACCAGCAAUUUGGGUGGCAACGCGGAUUAUACUUCCGUCCCAGUU
rnacentral:ncRNA from 1 species